rnacentral:rRNA from 1 species
CCUACGGGAGACAGCAGUGGGGAAUAUUGGACAAUGGGGGAAACCCUGAUGCAGCGACGCCGCGUGAGUGAAGAAGUAUCUCGGUACGUAAAGCUCUAUUAGCAGGGGAGAAAAUGACGGUACCUGACUAAGAAGCCCCGGCUAACUACGUGCCAGCAGCCGCGGUAAUACGUAGGGGGCAAGCGUUAUCCGGAUUUACUGGGUGUAAAGGGGGCGUAGACGGCAGCACAAGUCUGGAGUGAAAUGCCGGGGCUUAACCCCGGAACUGCCUUGGAAACUGUGCGGCUGGAGUGCAGGCGGGGUAGGCGGAAUGCCUAGUGUAGCGGUGAAAUGCGUAGAGAUUA